rnacentral:lncRNA from 1 species
AAUUCAGGAGAUGUGUUUCAGGUUUGAUCAGCUAUGGAAAAAGUGUCUACGUCGUACCAGAUUCUGAGUCCUCAAAAUAUGAUACAACUACUACUUAUAUGCAAUGAAAAGGUUUCUCUUCUUUCAUAGACUGUAUACAUAUAACUGGAUACAAGAAACAGGUGCAUUUAUAGCAGGAGUACUCUUAUAGCAGCGUUCUUAGGACUGGCAGGAGGCUUAACAUAUCACACGAGUGAGCUUUGCUGCCGGAGCUUGUGUCGCUUAUUUCCACCACGGGUUCUCGCCGGUCCUGAAGUCGGUCUCCACCCAUGGCACGAAGACGACCUUGCCGUCGUCGACGUCGGCGUGAACGAGGGCCAGCGACU